UACGUAGGGUGCGAGCGUUAAUCGGAAUUACUGGGCGUAAAGCGUGCGCAGGCGGUUCGUGAUGUCUGGUGUGGAAGCCCCGGGCUUAACCUGGGAAUUGCAUUGGAAACUAGCGGGCUGGAGUGUGGCAGAGGGGGGUGGAAUUCCACGUGUAGCAGUGAAAUGCGUAGAGAUGUGGAGGAACACCGAUGGCGAAGGCAGCCCCCUGGGCUAACACUGACGCUCAUGCACGAAAGCGUGGGGAGCAAACAGG
rnacentral:rRNA from 1 species